UGUGUGGAAAUUUUGUUAUUUGAAUGAAGAAAAACUUUUAGUAUAUGUAAUAUUUGUAAACAACAUUUUAAAUAUACAUCUGGUGGGAGUGGAGGUUCAACGGGGGAUUAAAAAAACAUUUGAUUAAUAAGCAUAGUAAAGAGUGGUUUGCAUAUAUAUCUUCUCUUGAUGUUUGUGAAAAUUCUAACAUUGAAACAUCGGGUAGAGG
rnacentral:lncRNA from 1 species